rnacentral:rRNA from 1 species
UACGGGGGGGAGCAAGCGUUGUUCGGAAUUACUGGGCGUAAAGGCGCGUAGGCGGCCUUCUAAGUCGAACGUGAAAUCCCCGGGCUCAACCCGGGAACUGCGUCUGAUACUGGAUGGCUUGAAUCCGGGAGAGGGAUGCAGAAUUCCAGGUGUAGCGGUGAAAUGCGUAGAUAUCUGGAGGAAUACCGGUGGCGAAGGCGGCAUCCUGGACCGGCAUUGACGCUGAGGAGCGAAAGCCAGGGGGAGCAAACGGG